rnacentral:tRNA from 1 species
AUUGCAUAAGCAUAAUAGUGUAUUAGAUUUAGAAUCUAAUUUUGUAGUCAAAACUACAUGUAAUA